UACGUAGGUGGCAAGCGUUAUCCGGAAUUAUUGGGCGUAAAGAGCGCGCAGGUGGUUAAUUAAGUCUGAUGUGAAAGCCCACGGCUUAACCGUGGAGGGUCAUUGGAAACUGGUUGACUUGAGUGCAGAAGAGGGAAGUGGAAUUCCAUGUGUAGCGGUGAAAUGCGUAGAGAUAUGGAGGAACACCAGUGGCGAAGGCGGCUUCCUGGUCUGUAACUGAAACUGAGGCGCGAAAGCGUGGGGAGCAAACAGG
rnacentral:rRNA from 1 species